AAUAACCAAAUACAAUACUUGGGCUAAGGGUUAGGUUGGUAAUUUUUCUUACAUCUCCCCCACCCGGAGCCCAAGUAUCAUAUACACCCCCAAAAUAAAGAGCCUUGAAUACUAGAAGAAAAGCACCUAUGCCUAACAAGAUUAAGUGAAUACCCAAAAUUGUAGUCAUUUUAUUUCUAUCUUUCCA
rnacentral:antisense_RNA from 1 species